rnacentral:rRNA from 1 species
AUUGAACGCUGGCGGCAGGCCUAACACAUGCAAGUCGAACGAGUGGCGGACGGGUGAGUAAUGUCUGGGAAACUGCCCGAUGUAGGGGGGUAACUACUGGAAACGGUAGCUAAUACCGCAUACCAUCGGAUGUGCCCAUAUGGGAUUAGCUAGUAGGUGGGGUAACGGCUCACCUAGGCGACGAUCCCUAGCUGGUCUGAGAGGCUGACCAGCCAAGCGGGAACUGAGACACGGUCCAGAUGCCUACGGGAGGAAGCAGUGGGGAAUAGUGCACAAUGGGCGCAAGGGUGAUGCAGCCAGGCCGCGUGUAUGAAGAAGGCCUUCGGGUUGUAAAGUACUUUCAGCGAGGAGGGGUUACUCGCAGAAGAAGCACCGGCUAACUCCGUGCCAGCCGCCGCGGUAAUAC